rnacentral:rRNA from 1 species
AAUAUUGGACAAGGGGGGCAACCCUUCUCCAGCCAUGCCGCGUGUGUGAAGAAGGUCUUCGGAUUGUAAAGCACUUACGUCGGGAGGAAGGGCUUUAGGUUAAUACCCUGACGUUUUAACGUUACCAACAGAACAAGCACCGGCUAACCCUGUUCCAGCAGCCGCGGUAAUACAGAGGGUGCAAGCGUUAAUCGGAAUUACUGGGCGUAAAGCGCGCGUAGGUGGUUCAGUAAGAUGGGUGUGAAAUCCCCGGGCUUAACCUGGGAACUGCUUUCAUAACUGCUGAGCUGGAGUACGGUAGAGGGUAGUGGAAUUUCCUGUGUAGCGGUGAAAUGCGUAGAUAUAGGAAGGAACACCAGUGGCGAAGGCGACUACCUGGACUGAUACUGACGCUGAGGUGCGAAAGCGUGGGGAGCAAAC